rnacentral:lncRNA from 1 species
CACCGAGGCUUAGAACAGCUGGGAAACUUGCCCAUGGUCUACACAUGUCAAUUAGUUGCUGGACUGUGAGUUUCAAGAUGCCAAGGACUGUAUCUGUUUUAUCUAAUGUUACACUUAAAAAUUGACUUUAGAUUUAUUUUUUGUGUGUUUUGCUUGUAUGUAUGUAUGUGCACCAUGUGUACACACAAUGCCCACAAGAGGGCAUUGUAUACCCUGGGACUGGAUGGUUAUGAGUCACCAUGUGGGUUCUAGAGGCCAAGCUGAGUGCAUCCUGGGUCCUCUGCAAGAGCAACAAGUACUCUUAACCCCUGAGCUAUCUCUCUCCAGCCUCCUGACAAAGCUCUGUUAUUGAUCAUUUUUGUUAGUGAUUGUUGGGGUUUGGUUUGGUUUUAUUGAGACUCGAAUUCUCUUGGAUUAUGGUAUGUACUGCGAUGCCAGACUUCAUUUGAGCUUUGACGCAGGAAGGAUGAAAGCUGGUAGCGGUCCAUUUAAUCUGCUGUAAUUCUGCCUUCCUCACUGGUUACUCUAAUGACUAAGAUAACUGGCCUAAACGUUGAACAGUUUGUGCCAAGAGGUCAGUCAGCACUCGACAGUCUUACGACUCUGUUACUAUGAUGCAGCUUCCCUAUUCACAUCUUUCGGUGCUGCUGUUUUUUCUCUGUCUCCUCCCAGGCUCAGAAGUACAGCUUGUAGAGUAUGAGGCCUCAGCUGCUGGUCUCAUCCGAUCUUUCUGUGAGCGUUUUCCAGAAGAUGGGCCUGAAUUGGAGGAGGUCCUUACCCAGCUAGCCACAGCAGAUGCCAGAUUCUGGAGGGACCAGGUCAAGGAGGCCCCAGCUGGCCAGGCUUGAGAAGAUUUCGUGAUUCCUUUCCCCACUCCAUAAACCUCACUUUCUGGUUUACCAAGUACUUCCUCAGUUCCUUGGUCUGCGCUGCCAUCUUUGGAGGGAGCUCCACAGGCUGCCUAGUCCAGUUUCCCACAUGGGACAAUGCAGUUCUGAGAAGUGACUGGUCUAAAUCUGGUAGCUGGCAUGUGACAGAGCCAGGGCUCAAAGCGUUCUCACCAAAUCCAAUGCUCUUCGUGUAUUACUUUUAUAACCAGAAAAAUAAAUACCACAAACAACCAUCAUUGCUAUGUGUGAGAUUCUUCCUCCCUGUGUUCAGAGCCUGGGGAGGGCACAGUACCGCACUUCUGGCUUCCAGUCCACAACAGGAUUUUGCUAUCGUCUCUAAAGGAAAGCACAGAGGCAUAGUAUGAGUUCUGCAGCUCUCCUUUGUGACAUAUUUUUUUUAAAGAUUUUAUUUAUUUAUU